rnacentral:tRNA from 1 species
GGGCCUGUAGCGCAGCUUGGAUAGCGCAGCUGCCUCCUAAGCAGCAGGUCGGGGGUUCAAAUCCCCCUGGGCCCG